UCUCCGUUGGUGAACCAGCGGAGGGAUCAUUACCGAAGUUACUCUUCAAAACCCAUUGUGAACCUUACCUCUUGCCGCGCGGUUGCCUCGGCGGGGAGGCGGGGUGUGGUGGCGCGCCCCACGCGGGCCGCUCCCCCCCCCGCCCCCGCCGGCCGCGCCAAACUCUAAAUUUGCAAAGCGGACUACAUCUGAUUUAUAAGAAAACAAGUAAAAACUUUUAACAACGGAUCUCUUGGUUCUG
rnacentral:misc_RNA from 1 species